UUUCUAUUGGUGUAAAGCACGUUAAUUUUUGAGGUUAAAGGAAAAAUAUUUUUAUAGAAAA
rnacentral:tRNA from 1 species